AGCUUCAAAACAUCCAAUCAGGCGUGAGUCUGGACCUGGUUUUCUACUGAACACACAAGUUCAUUACCUCACUAUCACUUUGUCUAAACAGGAACGAUGAUCACACUCUUUGUGGCUCUUUACUCUCUGCUUUGUCUCUGCACAACUGGAAACACUUCUGACAUCAAGGAGCUUCAAGUGAAAACAGUAAAGCUGGGAGAAAAUGUAACUAUGGAGUGUAACUUUAGUGAGGUCAGAAACAAAUAUAGUUUAGCUUGGUACAGACAGAGUUUUGGAGAAGUGCCUAAGUUUUUUGUAAGACACUACGGGCCGAGUUACACAUUUUUUGCUGAGGGAUUUAAUAAUAGCCGCUAUAGUGUUACUGUAAAUGACCAAAAGUUUGAUCUCAGCAUUAAUGAAAUAAGAGAAGAUGAUGGAGGAGAAUAUUUCUGUGGAUAUGUGGACGGAAGUACAGUAAAGUUCAUAUCUGGAACACGUCUGCAGUUUGAAGGUGAAGAGAUGAAACCCUGUCCUACACCUGGAACACUUAACAAGAACACACACUCUGUUACACACCAGGGUUCAAACAGCAGAGAUAGAGAUGGUUCCAGUUAUACUGAUCGGAUUCAUGUGCUGGUCUGGUUUUCCGUUUUUAGAGUUGGAGUUCUUUUCUUCAUUAUUUUAACAAUAACACUGAUUGGAUUUAAAUUAAAAAUAAAUUAAAAUGUUAAUUAAAUUAAAUUUGAAAAUAUUGCUGAUUUAUGGUUAAGAAAUGUUUAAAAUUGAAAUAGAGCAAUUGCUUAUAUUAAUUGUAUACUGGAAUAAUUUUUGUCAAACUGUAAUGUCAUUUAUUUAAGGGACAUGAGAUCUAACGAUGUCAGAGCGUGCCCUACUAA